UACGGGGGGAGCAAGCGUUGUUCGGAUUUACUGGGCGUAAAGGGCGCGUAGGCGGUCAGCACAAGUCAGUUGUGAAAUCUCCGGGCUUAACUCGGAAAGGUCAACUGAUACUGUGCGACUAGAGUGCGGAAGGGGCAACUGGAAUUCUCGGUGUAGCGGUGAAAUGCGUAGAUAUCGAGAGGAACACCUGCGGCGAAGGCGGGUUGCUGGGCCGCAACUGACGCUGAGGAGCGAAAGCAUGGGGAGCGAACAGG
rnacentral:rRNA from 1 species